ensembl:snRNA U6 U6 spliceosomal RNA
AUUGCAUUAAAGGCAACAUAUAUACUAAUAUUAGAACAGUAUGGAGACAACUAGCAUGAACUCUGUACAAGGAUUGCUGGAAUAUUUAGGAGGAGUUCCACAUUUUU